UGACUUGCAUUGACCUGGCUCCAAUCAAGCUACAACUCAAGCAGUCGGGGAGGAGGAUUGUAGAUGGGCUAGUGACUCACAGGGUCAGGCGCUCGGGGGAGCCUGAGUCAGGAGGAUGCUUCUGGCUGGCACACCUGGCCUCCCCUCCAUGCUCAGAACUGCCUUCUAUUCUACAUCCAAGCUCCUGAGCAGCCCCCAGCUUAAGCUUCAGCAGCUGCAGGGUAAAUCCAUCUCUGCCCAGAGCUGACUCCGGAUCUGCCCCAGUGACAAUAACAAGAUAAAUGCCUUCCAUUCUCUUCAUACUUACAGGAUGUAACCCACAUAUUUACACAGUGUUUCAUUUGCAG
rnacentral:sRNA from 1 species